rnacentral:rRNA from 1 species
AACGAACGCUGGCGGCAUGCCUAACACAUGCAAGUCGAACGAGACCUUCGGGUCUAGUGGCGCACGGGUGCGUAACGCGUGGGAACCUGCCCUUAGGUUCGGAAUAACUCCCCGAAAGGGGUGCUAAUACCGGAUAAUGUCUUCGGACCAAAGAUUUAUCGCCUUUGGAUGGGCCCGCGUUGGAUUAGCUAGUUGGUAGGGUAAAAGCCUACCAAGGCGACGAUCCAUAGCUGGUCUGAGAGGAUGAUCAGCCACACUGGGACUGAGACACGGCCCAGACUCCUACGGGAGGCAGCAGUGGGGAAUAUUGGACAAUGGGCGAAAGCCUGAUCCAGCAAUGCCGCGUGAGUGAUGAAGGCCUUAGGGUUGUAAAGCUCUUGUACCCGGGAUGAUAAUGACAGUACCGGGAGAAUAAGCUCCGGCUAACUC